UCUUUUACAGAGCCUCACUUUACUUUUUGUUUCCCCAGACCUGUCCCCUUGCUAUCCAGCAGUACAUAAUCAGCUCUAAUUACUCAAAUACAUGAAAAUGGAGGAGGAAUCUCUGGUCUGAUUCUUGAACCCAAAAGGCUGAUCAAGAAAGUCACAAACAAGAGGUCAACAUGGAAGAUAAAUAGAAGACAAGUCAAAUUUGGAAAUCAUGGAAGAAAAGUAGUUAAGUUGACAAAAACAAGAAAGGAUGUGAACACAUAGGUACAGCCGUGUGCCUUGAUGGAAGUAAACUGCGAUACAUGGAAUUAAUUUUAACGGGCCAGACGCAUGCCUCAUCUUGUAAUGAUGGUGAAGAGUUGCAGUGACCACAGCUGGAAUGGGUGCCUGUGACACGGAAGCUCCACUGUCAUUCUUUGAUUUGAGCUUUUGAAAUCACACUUUUGGAGGACACAGAGAAGUAAAGCAUUAAUACAAGUGAAUUUGGAGAGUAAAAAGAGUCAAACCCAAGGAACAAGUCAUUGUGAUGUGGC
rnacentral:lncRNA from 1 species